GUGCUCACUUCAGCAGCAUAUGUAGUCAAAUUGGAGCAAUACAGAGAAGAUUAGCAUGACCCCUGUGCAAGGAUGACAUGCAAAUCUGUGAAGUGUUCUAUAUGAAU
ensembl:snRNA U6 U6 spliceosomal RNA